rnacentral:tRNA from 1 species
GCCCUUGUAGUUCAAUGGAUAGAACGAAAGUUUCCUAAACUUUAAAUUUGGGUUCGAUUCCCAGCGAGGGUACAA